rnacentral:ribozyme from 1 species
AUCGACAAUAUGAAAGAGCCACAGAGUGAGAACAGAGAUUAGUGAGGUCAUAUGGUGAAGACAGAUGGUAGGACCCUUUCAUUUCUUGUAUUACCUUUCACCUCUUUUUCUAUUCCUUUCUUUUUCUCUUUUUAGUGUUUAUUCUCUUGUCUAGUCUAUUCUCAUGUCAUGGAGGUAG